AUUGAACGCUGGCGGAAUGCUUUACACAUGCAAGUCGAACGGUAGAGGGGGCAACCCCUCGAGAGUGGCGAACGGGUGAGUAAUAUAUCGGAACGUGCCCAGUCGUGGGGGAUAACGUAGCGAAAGUUACGCUAAUACCGCAUACGAUCUAAGGAUGAAAGCGGGGGAUCGCAAGACCUCGCGCGAUUGGAGCAGCCGAUAUCAGAUUAGGUAGUUGGUGGGGUAAAGGCUCACCAAGCCAACGAUCUGUAGCUGGUCUGAGAGGACGACCAGCCACACUGGAACUGAGACACGGUCCAGACUCCUACGGGAGGCAGCAGUGGGGAAUCUUGGACAAUGGACGCAAGUCUGAUCCAGCCAUUCCGCGUGCAGGAUGAAGGCCCUCGGGUUGUAAACUGCUUUUGUACGGAACGAAAAGGUCUCUCUUAAUACGGGGGGCUCAUGACGGUACCGUAAGAAUAAGCACCGGCUAACUACGUGCCAGCCGCCGCAGUAA
rnacentral:rRNA from 1 species